rnacentral:rRNA from 1 species
GAUGAACGCUGGCGGCGUGCCUAAUACAUGCAAGUCGAGCGAACAGACGAGGAGCUUGCUCCUCUGACGUUAGCGGCGGACGGGUGAGUAACACGUGGAUAACCUACCUAUAAGACUGGGAUAACUUCGGGAAACCGGAGCUAAUACCGGAUAAUAUAUUGAACCGCAUGGUUCAAUAGUGAAAGACGGUUUUGCUGUCACUUAUAGAUGGAUCCGCGCCGCAUUAGCUAGUUGGUAAGGUAACGGCUUACCAAGGCGACGAUGCGUAGCCGACCUGAGAGGGUGAUCGGCCACACUGGAACUGAGACACGGUCCAGACUCCUACGGGAGGCAGCAGUAGGGAAUCUUCCGCAAUGGGCGAAAGCCUGACGGAGCAACGCCGCGUGAGUGAUGAAGGUCUUCGGAUCGUAAAACGCUGUUAUUAGGGAAGAACAAAUGUGUAAGUAACUAUGCACGUCUGGACGGUACCUAAUCAGAAAGCCACGGCGAACUACGU